rnacentral:rRNA from 1 species
GAGCGGGUGUAGCAAUACAUCAGCGGCAGACGGGUGAGUAACGCGUGGGAACGUACCUUUUGGUUCGGAACAACCCCAGGGAAACUUGGGCUAAUACCGGAUAAGCCCUUACGGGGAAAGAUUUAUCGCCGAAAGAUCGGCCCGCGUCUGAUUAGCUAGUUGGUGAGGUAACGGCUCACCAAGGCGACGAUCAGUAGCUGGUCUGAGAGGAUGAUCAGCCACAUUGGGACUGAGACACGGCCCAAACUCCUACGGGAGGCAGCAGUGGGGAAUAUUGGACAAUGGGCGCAAGCCUGAUCCAGCCAUGCCGCGUGAGUGAUGAAGGCCCUAGGGUUGUAAAGCUCUUUUGUGCGGGAAGAUAAUGACGGUACCGCAAGAAUAAGCCCCGGCUAACUUCGUG